rnacentral:rRNA from 1 species
UACGGAGGGUGCGAGCGUUGUUCGGAAUUACUGGGCGUAAAGCGCACGUAGGCGGGUCCAUAAGUCGAUUGUGAAAGCCCCGGGCUCAACCUGGGAAUUGCAGUCGAAACUACGGAUCUUGAAUGCUUGAGAGGAUGGGGGAAUUCCUGGUGGAGAAGUGAAAUUCGUAGAUAUCAGGAGGAACAUCUGAGGCGAAGGCGCCUGUCUGGCAAUGCAUUGACGCUGAGGUGCGAAAGCGUGGGGAGCAAAC